AGGACGAACGCUGGCGGCGUGCUUAACACAUGCAAGUCGAGCGGAAAGGCCCUUCGGGGUACUCGAGCGGCGAACGGGUGAGUAACACGUGAGUAAUCUGCCCCUAGCUCUGGGAUAGCUCCGGGAAACCGGGAUUAAUACCGGAUACGACCACCUUAGACAUCUUUUGUGGUGGAAAGAAUUUCGGCUAGGGAUGAGCUCGCGGCCUAUCAGCUUGUUGGUGGGGUAACGCCUACCAAGGCGACGACGGGUAGCCGGCCUGAGAGGGCGACCGGCCACACUGGGACUGAGACACGGCCCAGACUCCUACGGGAGGCAGCAGUGGGGAAUAUUGCGCAAUGGGCGAAAGCCUGACGCAGCGACGCCGCGUGGGGGAUGAAGGCCUUCGGGUUGUAAACCCCUUUCAGCAGGGACGAAGCGAAAGUGACGGUACCUGCAGAAGAAGCGCCGGCUAACGUACGCGCCAGCAGCCGC
rnacentral:rRNA from 1 species